rnacentral:misc_RNA from 1 species
AAUUUUUAAAAGCUUCCUGUGAAAGGGUUAACAUUGGCGUUGUCUGCCCCUGUAGGUGUGGUACAACCCUGAGGACCUGUACGUGGCCUGGGACAUCAUGACCUUGAACUUGGAUGAGUUCAGCAACAGCUCCCUCUUCAUGUACGACAUUGUAGAUGUGACGCGAAACAGUUUACAAAUCCUGUCAAUCAAGUACUACACGGACCUUGUCUACGCAUUUGGUCGUGGAGACAUUCAUGCGGUAGAAUCUCAUGGAAAUCAGCUUCUGGGGUUGCUUAGCGACAUGGAUACAGUGCUGGGAUCAGAUUCUCACUUCCUUUUGGGACGCUGGAUAAAGGCGGCCACAGAUAAUGCAAUGGACAUGCAGGAUAACUGGUUCCUUCAGUUCAAUGCCAGGAACCAGAUUACUCUGUGGGGUCCAAGAGGAGAGAUCCGGGAUUACGCCUGUAAGCAGUGGUCUGGCCUGAUCAAAGAUUAUUACCUACCUCGAUGGGAGAUAUUUGUGAAUUACACUCUGGACAUAAUGGCUCACGUAAGUGACAAGUCUCUGGUGUAUGAUGCUAACCUUUAGGGUCAACAAUAUUGCUGUAAAUGUAAAAAGUUAAACAGUAUAGUAAAACCGUUGCUACUUUACAAAGUUGAUGGUUCCGGAUAUUAAAGGUGACAGUCAGUGGCCUUUUUAUUGCUGUUCUAUUUUUAAUUUCCUUUACAGGAAGACAGACAAUAUGAUUUUAAAUGCUUUUCUAAUAUUGAUUUGCUCUAGAACAAGACUUACAAUGCCACAGAGCUGGAUAUAAUGAUCUAUGAGAAAGUGGAGUUUCCGUUCAGUUACAGACUGGACCAGUAUCCCACAGAGCCUCAAGGUGAUAGUGUUGCCAUAGUGAAGUCCCUGCACAAGAAGUAUAGACCGGACACCAUGUCUGAGUUCUUCCAGACUCUGCAACAAGCCACGGAGGAGCGACAUCGCAAAGACAAACGGAACUGGAUACAGAGGAAAUACGGCUCACAGAUAAAACGUGCAAAAACUCAAAACAUUGGGUACAAUCCCAGACUCCAUCAUGUUGUGAACGGCAGGAACUGAUUUUGAUGUUUAUAUCUGUGAUUGAGGCUGUGAUUUGGACGUACUUGUGUCUGGGAAUAUAUCUAAAGGGGUUUAUUCAAUAUAUUUAUGUAUAUAAAAUUUUUGACAGAGCUUUUGUAAAGAAUGAAAUUUAAACAUGCAUGGGGCCAUAUUUUUUCAUGCUGGUAUUUAUACAUGUAUUUUAAAAAAUUAAGGUAUUGCAAGGAGAGUUUGAACUUUUAUUCAGUGCAAGAAUGAUAUUACAUGAUUUCUUCACAGGAGGGAAUAAUAUGAUACAAAUAUGGUACAAUAUGCUUUGAAAACCCAUUACUAGUAUACGAAUCUGAUGUACCAGCAGUUACUUUGUAACUGUGUAACUAUGCAUAAAUCAUGUAUAUUGUGAACGUUUAUAAAUGAAAGUGCUUAUGUUUU